rnacentral:lncRNA from 1 species
ACACUUUCAAACCGAAAUUCAACAUUAAUAUUUCAAUCACUAUAGACACAAGUUAUAAACUUCAGCAUUUCAAAAAGUGAAAAGAUCUUGCCAAGCUUUGGACAUAGCAGUUAGCAUUUGGACAUAGCAGUUAGCAGUUAGCAGCAACAGAUUAUAUAUACAUUCAAGUUGAAGAUAUAGACACAAAUUACAAUCUAUGCACAGCCGCGGUUUAUUCGCAUAACCAUUCGCAAGUAUCAAAACCAAACAUAAAAAUCCAUACAACACAUCAAAAUAUGAUUAUCGUAUCAACCCAACAUUAAAGGACUUAUUUAAAAGCAAUCCAACACUUUCUAACCAGCAAUACAUUGACUCUUUACAGAACGGACUACCGAGUUUGAACCUUGAUUCAGGGCCUAACAUGUAUAAUGGAAUCUGAGCUCAAAUUAUUAUUAUUAUUGUAUUUUUCCAGAAUAUUCAUCAACAAGAAUU